rnacentral:lncRNA from 1 species
GGUUAAUAUCACAACAAACCCAAAGCAGUUAUGCAGCUGAUGAGAUGUGUGUCCAAAACAAGACAGAGGGAGACAUUUUCUCUUUUAAAAGAGAAAAAGAUAAACCAUAAAAUGUAACUAAAAACUGUAUGAGUGUUCUCAUAUCAAUCACGUGAAGUCUAAGGCAAGAAACAUUGUAAAGAUGAAUGUGAUAUUCAUCGUUUUACAACAACCGUAUGUCUUCCAGGAAAAUACAAUAAUUCUAAAGAUGUGUGUACCUAACAACAUUGCUUCAAAAACUGAAAAAACUGCACGGUGGUACACACCAUUAAUUCUAGCCCUUAGGAAACAGUAGCAGACAAAUUGCUGAGUUCAAGGCCAGCCUGAUCUACAUAGAAUGGUCCAGACUGGCCUGGUCCAUGUAGAAAAGUGGAUCUGAUGGGAAAUCUUUAUUGUCAGCUUGGAAGGAUUUGGAAUCACCAUGGAAAUGGCCUCUGGGUGUGUCUAUCAGAAUGUCUGUAACUGAGCAGGUAGGACGCACUCUGAACAUGGAUGGCACUAUUCAAUCGGUCUGAGGUCUAGAUGCGACAGGUGCCUCGCACUCCGGCCACCAUGCCCUCCCCAUCCCCAAACUUCAAGCUAAAAGAAAUUCUUUCUCUCUUAAGUGACUGUUGGGUAUUUUGUCAUGGCAAUGAGAAAAGUAAUUAAGAAACAACCAAAGAAAGGCAAAGUCCUAAGGAAAGAUUUGAACAAACCACCUCAGCCUGUGAGACCAUGACUCCCCUUGCACUUUAUGGUCCCAUUACCCCAGGACUCUGUACCCAGUACCUGGAGCCCCUGACAGGAGCUCGUUGUUUUUUAUUGUCUGCUGAAUCGGUAAUGAUUCUAUUGUUGAUAUUGGUGAACUUUACCUUCCUUUGCCAUUUAUUAGUAUUACUAGAUAUCAUUAUCACACUUUCAAAGAACCGGCUGUAUUGAUGUAUUUUCCACAUUUGUUUUCUAUUUUAAUUAAUGAUUUUUUUUAUUAUUUCUUCACAUUUUAUUUUUGGAUUUAAGUUACCAUUUUUGUACUAACUUCUGGAGAUGGACAGUUAAAUUUCCAUGCUUUCCCUUUCUUUGGCAUUCAACACUAUUUUCCUUUAGCCACACUUUCAGCCGUAUUAUACAAAUUGAUGUCACAUUCUCACUCUGAAAUAGUUUUAUCAUGAAUUACUUUUUGAAAAAACAGUGCUACUUUGUGGGGGCUGCUAAUCCUGCCAGUUGAGAAUACCACCACUGCUACAAUUUUGAUCCAACUUUGAAGCAAGCUUUAAUGAAAUACUGCUAAGAUGAUGGGUUCAGGCCAGGUUCAUUCCUGGGUUCUCAGAAAAUGGCCAUGAAUCACAUUUUACAGAGACUUAAAAGGCAAACCCAUAAGGUGGUAUUUCCCACCAGAUCCAAUCGGGGCAAGUAUAUAUACUGACACACUUCCUGCCGGUGAACCUCCUGCCUACAUCCAAUCAGGGGCGAGCUGCCUGCACACCUCCAGCCCACAUGUGAUCAAGCACAUCCAGUGAGUUGAGUCAAAUAAACUUGUUUAGGGGAGUGAAAACAUGUGGCUUGUUAUCUUAAAUUAAUAACCUCCAGUGUUUUGGCUAGAGGCAUUUUAUUUCAUGGGUCUUUUAGGCACAGUAAUCAAAACUUAAAACAUAUCUUUGGCUCUCACAGGAGGACUUGGGAAGGGAGCAGGUGUCUGUAAGAGCUGGCCAUCUGUUUACAAGAUGAGACAGUUAUAGGGCAAAAAGUGAGGAAGGGAAAGGUUGAUUUUUUUAUUUGUUUUAUUUUAUUUUUUUUUUGCACACAGUUGGCUAUGGCAAUCUAUAGUAAGUUACUUUUUGCCUCAGGGUAAGUUCUAAAAUAUUGAUUCAUUUUCAAAGGUGAAUCCUUACCUUACAAGCAUCUGAUCAUACUGUUCUGGUCAGUCUGCAUACUCUAGAUGAUUUGAACAAUUUGAAAUUUUCUGAGAACACACUUAUGGACAAUAGAAGGUCAGUAUUCUAAAUAGUCUGUGUCCUUCUGCAUAAACCAUCACAGUGUGCAGCCAGUGUGAUAGCUGCGGGGAAAAGGACCACCCUGUAAGUCUAAGCCAGUGACACUUCACAAACCUGAGUCUCUUACGUAAAUACACAACCAGGGGACCAGGAGUAGUGGGGACACUGAUGCAUACACACCUUUUCAAAAGGUGAUUGCAUUGAGAAGUCACAGAAGUGGUGAGAGAAGCACCGGGGACACAUGGACCCAUCAACCGUUAGCCUGAGGUCCUUUGGCUCCAGGGCUGGACAGAGAUACUUUGGCCCCCAGGUACCUGCAUAUUCACACAAACACACACACACACACAGAGAGAGAGAGAGAGAGAGAGAGAGAGAGAGAGAGAGAGAGAGAGAGAGAGGGCUGGGGGGCUAGCAUGGCGGGGUGAGCAGGCACUUCAAUACAGUUAUGAUUUGAAUGCUUUUACUGCCUUCUUAAAUAUGCAAAUAAGAUAGAUUUUUAAACACAGCAGUGUUGGUGGCUGGUGUUCUGGUUAGUACAGCUCCGAGUCACAACGCUGGCUACAGCAGAAAGACUUUAGGUCAAGGCCAAAGAGGGUUAUGCAGAUACCCUGUCUGAAAAAAACCCAAAUGUCCAGUAAAGAAGUAAAGUUUCUAGAAGAAAGCAUAGCAGAUGGAAAAGCGCAAUACUGAGGUGAGAGUCAGCUCCUCAGUCAAACUACCCAAGCGUGAACUCAGUUACACACUUGGGCACAUUAUUGCCCCCUCUCUGCUCAGUGCAUUGGUUUGUAAAAUGUAACAAAUAAAAAAAAAUAAGUUAAUUUUUUAAUGGCAUGAAUAAAUAGCAGCCAUCAUGAAUGGCAAAUACAAUGACUUGUGUUCCUGGUGCCCAGUGCACAACAGGAAAGGACAUGAGGAAGCCCUUCAACAUGAAUGCAGCUAAAAGAUGCCCCAGUCACCAAAAACUUCCUAGACACUUGAGAAAAGAUAAGACAGUGUGACUUACUUACAGAGGUCCAUGUUUCAGCUAAGUGCAUGGGAGAAAACCCACUCGUGGUACAGGCACUAUUUGCAUAUAUAAAUGGCAUUGUAAACGAAGAGAUGCAUGUUUGGGGAGCUGAAGAAGGCAAAAUCAAACCUAGAAGAGGUGGUUAGGCUGAGUCAGAGGAGCCGUGAAGACGUGCCCUGGAAUAUGACUUCCAAGAGGUGGCAACCCCUGUCUCUGGCAUGGUUUGCUCUGUUUGCUUAAGAAACACCCUGAACUGGAAUUGUCUGGGCAGGGAUUACAGGUUUGGACGAGGAAGGUCCUGGCAGAGAGAGGAAACAGAGGAAGUCAGCUGGGGGGGGCACCCUCCCACAGGCCCUCUCUGCUGACAUCAGUCAUUCCCAAAGGUGCUCCAUCAGCUGUCAAAGCCUCUGUACAUCAGGACAGUCACACUCAUCUGUUCAACAAAGGAAGUGUGUGGCCUUUUCCCAUUUAACUAAAUUCUAGGUGGAAACAAAACUCCAUUUCUUUUCAUUUUUCUUCUUUUUAAACUGUAUUAUUAUUAUUAUUAUUAUUAUUAUUAUCUCAUACAUUAUAUCAUGACUGUAGUUUUCCCUCCUGCUAUCUAGAUCACCCCAUCGAAAAAUACAGCAUGACUAAUUCUAAAGAAAUACAAUUUAUAAAAAAAAAAAAGAGAGCGUAGGCAUUUUAUGAAAUUGAUCCUCACAGAGAGACUUGCAGACUUGAAAUUUACAGACUUCACUAAUCUUCUGGCUGACUCUCAAAUGCAUUUUAAGUGUCUCCAGGUCUUGGUUACCUGGAACUCACGUAUCUGAGUUGAAUGGGUGAAAGAACUGUUUUGUGGUGAAUGGGUCCCUGGUUCCCUUCUUCCUUCCACCGGCCUCCCAUCCUUCCCUUGGACUGGCCCUCCCAGACCUCUCUAUUAAAGCUGUAGCAAUCCCCUAAGCAUACGCUUGCCUCCAGUCUCCACCUGUGCCCAUCCUUCACUCGAGAUGAUCUAUGUCCCAUGAGAAUAUGUAUUCCAUUAAGGGUGAAGGCUGAAAGUCAAAGGCCUUGGCAGAGCACCUAAGCCUUGACACUCAGCUUUUUUUCUGUUUCUUUGCCCACCAUCCCUAGAUUUUCAUUGUUCAUGUUGGAUACCUGACAUGAUGGAGGAUCCCCAUGACGCGGCAAGUUUCCCAACCCCACACCGUUCUCACCACAGAGGCCCUCCCCAACCCACUCGCGUCCUUCUAGGCAUAAGUUCUUCCAAUGCCGGGCAUCCUACUCUACACCAGCUCAUCCCUGAAGCCUGCUCGUCUCCUCCACUUUAUGGGGACUCUCUUGCUUCUCUAUCAGCAUCAGUCACUCAAUAACACCCACCAAAUAUACGAAAUGAAGAGCUGCAUGUGGAACAUGUAUCUGUAAAUAGUUUUGAAGUUAGGUAUGUAAAACACAACAUAGAAAGGAGUAGAAAACAAGUGUGUUUUUGAAACUUUUGCAUGGCUUUGGAUCCAGAGUGCAGAACCAACUCUUUGUUCUUCCCACAGAUCAGUGGCAUCUUGCCAAUGCAUUAGAUUAACUUUGCUUCCUGAACAAUCAGAGUAAACAUCGAUUGCAUUACUUAUUAAAUGUGGGUGCAGCACAUGGAUUGUCUCAUUUCACCCACUAGACUAGCCUACUAUGUAAUAACUAUUUGGGGAAACUGAGGACUGGUAGAAACUGAGGAUUGGUAUUGUUGGUAGAACUUGGUUUUGGAAUCUGACCUCUGACCUAAAGUUUAUGUCCGUGGUUGUUAAGGUUUCCGUGAGAGUCGGAUCAGAAAACAGCAAGCUGGUGAGAGAAUAAAUAGGUUAGUUUCAUUUUGGAAAUUCCUUUUCAUCAAAAUCUGUGUUUCUUUGACAAGAACUUGGAACACAUAUUGAAGCUCACAGGUGCCUCUGGGAGUACAGCUCAUGGCAGAAUGAGUGUUUGCAGUGGGUGAGGCCCUGAUUUCCAUGCCCAGCAUGCUUCUCCCCAACCCCUGGAAAAAAAAAAAAAAACAUACUAUGUCUGAAUUCUCCAGGCCCAAGUCAAAUAUUAUUUGAAUCUUCACUGAACUCUGGCAUUCAUUUGACUUGUGAUUUUCAGCUCUCUCAAAUAUUAGUCCUGCUGUAAUAAGUAAGCUCAUAACUUAUGACCUCCUUGGAGAAAGCCAGACCGUCUCUCAGCACCUGUACUCAAGUAGGAACCAGUCCCCAAGAAUUACAUGGAGCAGAUAACUGGCAUGCAGGAGCCACACUCUAUGUCCAUAAGAGCUGUGAAAACCCCACCAGCAGAGUGAGUUCUUUCCAUGGACAGAAUGGGAAAAAACUCCACUGAAGGAAGAACAGAUGCUCCUGUGGCCCCUGGAUUGAAUGACAAGCCUAAUGUCAGCUCAUUCAGGUGGCUGUCAACUCACUUUUGGGUGUAUAUACUUGAAUGCCUGCAUACUAACCGCUCAAGCAGGAUGAGUCCAGGGCUUCAGAAACCUCCUGUUGUCCUGAAGGUCAGGGCAUCUGAACUGGGCAAUACCAACCAUUUUUAUCUUGGGUUUUCUCUUUUGAAGAAGUGUAACGAUAAAUCUUUCUGCCAAAGCCACCCUAGCCCUAUUGCCACAUGGGCGCCUUCCGCCAGCCGCCCGAGUUCCACCUGCCAUGUUAGGGACCCAAAUAAUAUACAGAGACUUAUAUUAGGUACAAAUGUUGCUGACCAAUUGACUAGGAUUUCUUAUAUGCUAGCUCAGUCUUAAUUAUCAUAAAUCUAUAUAUUUUAUAAGACUUAUCUUUUCGAGGACACCUUCUGCUGGAGUCCUCUUCCCAGGAUCACAUGGCGGCUCCAUAAAGAAGAG